UACAGAGGUCUCAAGCGUUGUUCGGAUUCAUUGGGCGUAAAGGGUGCGUAGGUGGCGGGGUAAGUCUGGUGUGAAAUCUCGGGGCUCAACCUCGAAACUGCACUGGAUACUGCUUUGCUAGAGUAUUGGAGAGGAGAUUGGAAUUUACGGUGUAGCAGUGAAAUGCGUAGAUAUCGUAAGGAAGACCAGUGGCGAAGGCGAAUCUCUGGACAAUUACUGACACUGAGGCACGAAGGCCAGGGGAGCAAACGGG
rnacentral:rRNA from 2 species